ACGGGGAAAGCUGGGGCAGGGCAGGGGCAGCGGGAGAUGGGGCAGCUUGGAGGAUGGAUUGUGCUGCACUGGGGGGUGUCCCCACAGGCUCCCCAGCUGCCUUUGGCUCCCUGCCUGCCCCCCUUGGCAGCCGCGGGGGCCUGGGCCCUUGCAGGGGCAGCUGCCCCGUGCAGGGAGCCGCAGGGAUGCGGGGAGGGGGGCUGGAUCCGUGCCGCAGCUGGGAUGGACUCUGUGCCAGGCCUGGGCUUGUGGCCAGGGCUGGGGGCUGUGCCAAGCCGGCCUUUGGCCUGGGGGCUCUUGGCGAGGGCGCAGGGAGGAGUCCCGGCAGGAUAAAGGUGCUCCUCACCUGGGGCAGCCUCAGCCAGCGCUCCCCACUCACUGGCACAGGAGGAAGAGGAAGAUGAAGGUGGCUGUGCUCGCCGUGGCCCUGCUCUUCUCCAUCCUGCUGUGCCUGCCAGCACAGAGCGAGGCCAUGGAUGGCAGCGGUGAUGAAACCAUUUGUGCCGGGAGAGUUGGUGGCAUUGGCAGCAGCCAGGUGGGUACCCCGAGUUCUUC